UGUGUGUGUGUGUGUGUGUGUGUGUGUGUGUGUGUGUGUGUGUGUGUGUGUGUGUGUGUGUGUUUGCAGGUGUUGGAUCUUCUGAACGGUAAAGAGUAUGAACCAAAGUCUCCACACAAAGCCUUCGCCGCUCCUCAAGGUGACCUGGCGAGUCUGGACGUGCAGGUGAAGCAGCAGGUGUGUCGCGCGUUGGAGAGUGAAGGAUGCUGGGAAAACCUGGCUCACAGCCUGAGCCUCGGGAUCCUCAACACGGCCUUCAGGCUGAGCCCCUCCCCCGCCAAAACCCUGCUGGACAGCUACGAGGUGUCAGGUGGGACUGUGCGGGAUCUACUCGCUGGUCUGAGGUCAGUCGGAGAGUGCAGAGCGCUGAGCGUCCUGGAGGAGGCUCUGCGUAACCACGACGACACUCAGCUGACCAAUGAGAGCGGAGGUGAGGUUCAGGUGCAGGAUGUGAAGGCGGAGGUGCAGAUCGACAGCGGGGUGUGUGACAGCGGAGUGGAGCUCUCCACAGCCUGAACAUCCAUCCCAUAAUCACAAACCAACCACUCAUCAGGAAGCUUUUUAACAAACUGUUUUUUAAUGAAAUGUGUUUUUAAACCUGUUGACAGAAACUCAAGAUGUAUUGAUGGCACUCCAACAACCAAAGAAUGUAAAAUAAGAAAAUAUAAGGAUUUGAAUGAGUUGAGGAUAUUUAGGAUCAUGUUCAGGGACAGACGGGGACAUCAGACGGAGGGUUUAGUUUCAGGGGAAAGGUGCUAUAACUAGAGAGAUGAUUGUAAAGACAUGUGCCCCAAAGCAUGGGUUCAAUCUGUUUGAAUAACUCUCACAUGUGGUAAUGUGAAGGGAUGCUGGUGUGAUUCCUCCUCUUCAGACAGGCUGGGGAUGAUCUGUUUAAAGAGUCCCUAUGUCCAGUUUGAGUUCAAAUGUUGCGCCCACAUUUAUGUUGAGAUUUUAGGAUUAUUCCCUUUUUAGAUAUCACAUUUCUUAUCCCUGAUUAUAGUGACCAGGUUCCAACAAGCCACGUGGGGGAAAGAAGACGUGUAGUGCGUUGCUAAGAGCUACUUUAGAUUUUAAUAUAAUGUCUAUCCAACCCUUCAAAUAAAUGGUGAAUGGACUGUUCUUAUAAAUCUCUUUAUCAGGUGUUCUCGACCUCUCAAAGCUUUACAUUACACACACACACACGCACGCACGCACGCACGCACGCACGCACGCACGCACACACACACACACACCCACCCACCCACGCACGCACGCACGCACACACACACACACACACACACACACACACACACACGACGAACGCACUCCCUCUCUGUGAAUCUCGUCGUCCAGCGACUACACCUUUAAGUAAACACAUGUCUCUGCUGAUUGAUUGACAUCUGAGGCAGCCAAUGGGCAUCGCCCUCUCUUGUUUUAUAAAAAAUGUUGGAUAAAAGCGGAUAAAAGCCACGUUUCAGACGGGCGACUGUCAAUCAAAUGCAGGAUAUGGACUAUUUGUGGGACACCCUAUGCCUGAUAUGAACUGGAGUGUAUCUGUCCGUAUGAACAGGAGGAAUCAUUACAACACGGUUUCACUUAUAAACAUGUGGAAAUGAAUAUGACUUUAAAACAUUGAAAUCUGUCUUUUAGGUGUCAAAAAAAAAAGUUUUUGUUUAGUUGUUUUGGCCCAUUUAUUUUCUGUCUGUUUCACCACUGAACGCUUUGAAAUACUUGAUUUGCUAAAACAUGUUUUUUCAUGUCAGUGUGAUCCUCUGAUAAAAUAAGACUAUUGCAAGGCAUUGUGGGAAAGGAAGUCCAGAGCUGUGAGGAGUUGUAGACUUUUCUCUAUUUAUAUCUUCACCCAGCACUGUACAGUUCAACACAGGCUUUUCAUUGGUUGUUAUUUUUUAAAUAAAGUUGUUUUUUUAUAUAUA